rnacentral:rRNA from 1 species
UACGUAGGGCGCAAGCGUUGUCCGGAAUUAUUGGGCGUAAAGAGCUCGUAGGCGGCUUGUCACGUCGAUUGUGAAAGCCCGAGGCUUAACCUCGGGUCUGCAGUCGAUACGGGCUAGCUAGAGUGUGGUAGGGGAGAUCGGAAUUCCUGGUGUAGCGGUGAAAUGCGCAGAUAUCAGGAGGAACACCGGUGGCGAAGGCGGAUCUCGUGGCCAUACUGACGCUGAGGAAGCGAAGGCGUGGGAGCGAACAUG